rnacentral:lncRNA from 1 species
AUUAUUAUGAGGAGACUGGAGUCAAUAUAUGUAUAAGCUACAACGUAAAGGCUUUAAAAGGACUUAAAAACCAUGAAUUAUUCAAUUAUUCAUAAAUAUAUAAUUUGUACAAUUGUGGUCAGAAUUGUUGGUAUAUACUUUUUUUUUUCUUUUUUUUUUUCUUAAUGAAUAUACUUUAAUGACAUUUUAGUCAUACAAACUCCUAAGGGUACUAUUAUUUGUAGCCAACAUGUAUAAGAGAAAAAAACAUUUAUUUCGUAAUGAGCCCCCCAUUUUAAAUUAUUAUUCUUGAACGAAAGGUUAGAUUUUUUUAAAUAAAAUAUGGUUUAACAAUAAAGAAUUAUAUUCAGCAGCCUUUUUUUUUUUUAAUCAUGUUUGUCAAGGGUUCCAACAAUUCUCACCAUGACUGUAUGUGUAUUUCUUACAUCAGUCAAAAUAAAUGAAUACAUGAAUAAAACACUGCUAGAAUGAUGCCCUUGUUACAACUUCCCCAUGUGAGAACUGGCCCCAGUCUCCUUUAUGUAUUGCUGUCUCCAGGGCAUCAUUUUGGAGGACAUAGAGAAGACAUCCAUCUCAUACAAAAGGAUUUAACGAUCACAGCAGACUGUGCAUUCCCCUGAAUGCAGGUUUGGCAUAAUGUCACUCAAUGGUCUGCCACAAAAGGGCAUGUUUGAAGCCAGGGUCUCUGGAGAGAGAAAACCGCUCAUUUCCAACACAAUGGCUCUGCUUUCAGUCCCUGAAAUUUGGAUUCUUAUCUCUGCAUUGGCCCAAUGAAAGCACAACAGGAUAAUUUAAUUGGGGAGUUUAAUUAAAUGUCUGGGUCAAUUGCAUCAUGAGUUGAAUACUGACCAAAGGCCAGAGGGGACUAAUAAAUGCCAAUUUGCCUCAUAUUCCCUGUCUUUAGGUGCUACUAACUUCCUCCGGGGGCAGAGACAUGCUUUGAAUGCCUUCUAAAUCAGGAUUAAUGGAUUGUGACACUGGGGCAUUGGGCUGGCGAGUGAAAUUGUUACUGAUGAUUUUGUCACAAAGUAAAAAAUGGCCUUCAGAAGGAAAUUACCCAUGCUUGAGGGAGUUCCUCUUGCACAUCUGCAUUUCCUCCAAAUUGUUUCUAAAGAUGGGAUACCUGAGCACUUGUGAACAUUCACUUUACAUCCUGUGGUCCUGCUGAGGUGAGGACGCUGACCUCCAUUCUGCUGCUAAUCAGGAUUUACACAAGCUUCAGUCUGGAUCCAGAACACCUGAGAAGAGAUGACCCCUCAGAGGAACCCAGAUGAUGCUAACCCUGAAACAACAUACAGAACUACCAAAUGUUGCUGUUAGUUUGAUUGCAUCUAAUUAUAAUUGCUGUUAAUAGUUUUCAUCGUCUGUUUGAUUACGUCUUUAAUUGAUUUUUUUUUUUUUUCAUACAUUUCUGCCAUAUGCACAUUAACUGACAGUCACCACUGAUAAGCUACUACCACUACUAUUGUAGAAACUAAAUUGUCUGUAAAGUUGCUUUGCAAUGAUUUGUAUCGUAAAAUGCGCUAUACAUUUAAACUUGAAUUUA